AGUGGCGAACGGGUGAGUAACACGUGGGUGAUCUGCCCUGCACUCUGGGAUAAGCCUGGGAAACUGGGUCUAAUACCGGAUAGGACCACACACUUCAUGGUGAGUGGUGCAAAGCUUUUGCGGUGUGGGAUGAGCCCGCGGCCUAUCAGCUUGUUGGUGGGGUAAUGGCCCACCAAGGCGACGACGGGUAGCCGGCCUGAGAGGGUGACCGGCCACACUGGGACUGAGAUACGGCCCAGACUCCUACGGGAGGCAGCAGUGGGGAAUAUUGCACAAUGGGCGCAAGCCUGAUGCAGCGACGCCGCGUGAGGGAUGACGGCCUUCGGGUUGUAAACCUCUUUCAGUAGGGACGAAGCGAAAGUGACGGUACCUACAGAAGAAGGACCGGCCAACUACGUGCCAGCAGCCGCGGUAAUACGUAGGGUCCGAGCGUUGUCCGGAAUUACUGGGCGUAAAGAG
rnacentral:rRNA from 1 species